UGCCCAGUUAUUACAUAGGGGUAUUUCUCUUCUUAUUGAUCUGCAUGAAUCAUCCAUAUAUAGAAGAGAGAGAGAGUAGAGAGAGCAC